GAAAUGCGAUAAUUAAUGUGAAUUGCAGAAUUCAGUGAAUCAUCGAGUCUUUGAACGCACAUUGCGCCCCCUGGUAUUCCGGGGGGCAUGCCUGUCCGAGCGUCAUUGCUGCCCUCAAACACGGCUUGUGUGUUGGGCUUCCGUCCCUGGCAACGGGGACGGGCCCAAAAGGCAGUGGCGGCACCAUGUCUGGUCCUCGAGCGUAUGGGGCUUUGUCACCCGCUCCCGUAGGUCCAGCUGGCAGCUAGCCUCGCAACCAAUCUUUUUAACCAGGUUGACCUCGGAUCAGGUAGGGAUACCCGCUGAACUUAAGC
rnacentral:misc_RNA from 1 species